GCCGUUGUUAUGGUAAUCCUGCUUAGUACAAGGAGAACUGUAGGUUCAACGAAAUGGUAUAUAUGCCUGGUUGAGAGGCCAAUGGUGUAAAUCUACCAUCUGACGGAUUUAGACUGAACGCUUCUUAUUCUGAAUCCCGUUCAUAUUUGUAACGGUAAAUUCCGUAUCUCACAAAUCGAUCCACUGAAGUGGA
rnacentral:ncRNA from 1 species